rnacentral:rRNA from 1 species
GAUGAACGCUGGCGGCGUGCCUAAUACAUGCAAGUCGAGCGAACAGACGAGGAGCUUGCUCCUCUGAUGUUAGCGGCGGACGGGUGAGUAACACGUGGAUAACCUACCUAUAAGACUGGGAUAACUUCGGGAAACCGGAGCUAAUACCGGAUAACAUGUUGAACCGCAUGGUUCAACAGUGAAAGACGGUUUUGCUGUCACUUAUAGAUGGAUCCGCGCCGCAUUAGCUAAUUGGUAAGGUAACGGCUUACCAAGGCAACGAUGCGUAGCCGACCUGAGAGGGUGAUCGGCCACACUGGAACUGAGACACGGUCCAGACUCCUACGGGAGGCAGCAGUAGGGAAUCUUCCGCAAUGGGCGAAAGCCUGACGGAGCAACGCCGCGUGAGUGAAGAAGGUCUUCGGAUCGUAAAACUCUGUUAUUAGGGAAGAACAAAUGUGUAAGUAACUAUGCACGUCUUGACGGUACCUAAUCAGAAAGCCACGGCUAACUACGU